CCUACGGGUGGCUGCAGUGAGGAAUAUUGGUCAAUGGCCGAGAGGCUGAACCAGCCAAGUCGCGUGAGGGAAGACGGCCCUACGGGUUGUAAACCUCUUUUGUCGGGGAGCAAAGCGAGUCACGUGUGACUCAUUGAGAGUACCCGAAGAAAAAGUAUCGGCUAACUCCGUGCCAGCAGCCGCGGUAAUACGGAGGAUGCGAGCGUUAUCCGGAUUUAUUGGGUUUAAAGGGUGCGUAGGCGGAUUUUUAAGUCAGCGGUAAAAUGUCCGGGCUCAACCCGGGCCGGCCGUUGAAACUGGGGAUCUUGAGUGGGCGAGAAGUAUGCGGAAUGCGUGGUGUAGCGGUGAAAUGCAUAGAUAUCACGCAGAACUCCGAUUGCGAAGGCAGCAUACCGGCGCCCGACUGACGCUGAGGCACGAAAGCGUGGGGAUCGAACAGGAUUAGAUACCCUUGUAGUC
rnacentral:rRNA from 1 species